rnacentral:lncRNA from 1 species
GUGUCCUGAAUGGAAGGAUCCCUUUGGGAACCUCUCAGGAGGGGGACCUGGGCCAAGGGUCACCAGCAUCUAGCUGGCAAUUCCAGGGCCCUGGGUGGGCUUC